rnacentral:lncRNA from 1 species
CUUUCAUCGUAGUUAAUCCUGCACACUUAAAACAAAACUUCGAUCGAGACAAUUAAUCCUAAGCAAUUAACCAAGUUGUCCGGCAUGUCAUUGGUCCCUCGACGCUUCGUCUGAUUCUUCGGCGCAUCGUCCUCUCCUGCAGCUUAUUGCCCAAUCGGCCAGUUGACUCCGCAACUCCGAUAUCCUUGGCACAAUACCCGCUCUUCUUGGCCCGAUGCCCGAGUCCACGGCCCGAAGCCUUCUGUCGAUACGUCGACCGAUCCACCGGCCCGACGUCCAAUCUUCUGACAUGUUCCUUCGGCACAACAUGAUUUUCCUACUUUAAUUGUCUCAUCCUGAUCGAAGCAUCCUGCGUCACUCAAAACGCAGAUUAAAUCAUAAACAUAUAUCAAGUAGUUUCAUCAUCAAA